rnacentral:misc_RNA from 1 species
CGAUUUUAGCAACCAAUUAUAAAUUGGUUGCUAAUUACAAUCGAUUUAAUAACCGAUUCUUAAAUCGGUUGCUAAAUUUUUUUAAAAUUAAUUAUUUUACCAAAAAAAAAAGAAAUCACAAAUCAUUUGCAAAAUUAAUUGCUAAUAGUAACCGAUUUAAGUCAGUUACAAUAAUCGGUUGCAAAACUAAUUGUUUUUGGUAAUGGCUAGAAAACAAAGUAGUUAAAAAACUAUCCAAAGAUUGAGGUUAGCAGGAUUUAGCAGUCUAACAUAUCUUGUGAAGCAUGCUCUUUGGGAGUCUGUAGUUUCUGAAGUGGUCUCCUAAUAGAGUGGAUUGUAGGUAGCAUGCCUAGCCCUUUUUUCGUAAAUUUAUUCCUUCCAUAAGAUAUUGGCUAGGAGCUGCAGGGUGCAGACCAGUUGAUGGAUCACACUCAAUAAAGGACAUUCUGAUCGUUCCGAUGUUUUUUCCUUUCUAGAUUAGGUUUAAGAUGGUAUUACAGUUUGCUAUUGAGUUUUAUGGUUAUUUGUUAAUCACCUCUAUAAGUCUCUUGUUGUGCAGCACUGAGUCUGUGCAUACAUGUCUGAUUCUGAAUCUGCAUGCUCAAAUGCACACGUUACCUUUGUUUCUUGUCCAGGUUUGAAUUUUAUGGAAGUGUACAGUAUAAACAUGCAUGGUUACAGUGCUGGUAAAUGAUACCUUCUAUAGUAUGGGAAAUGGCAAUCUGUGUGCAUUUGAUGCUAUUCUUGUGAAUGAUGCUCACCAGUCAAGAUUAUUUCAACCUUAAUUGGAGUUUCAUAUCAUUUGUCUCUCUCGAUGGUAUUUGUGGUUAUUAGAAAUUAGAAUGUCUCACUUUUCUUGUCCCUUCUCUUUAAUAUCAAAUGUAGAGAGUGUGAAGUACUUGUUUUGAACUUGAAAGCCUAUAUUAUCUAUGCAGGUUGGUGACUCUUGCAGUGAUUUUCCCACUAAGGGGAAGGCUGCGUGUACCAAGUUUACCAGGAUAAGU